AUCGCUUCUCGGCCUUUUGGCUAAGAUCAAAUGUAGUAUAUAAUGAUCAACCCACCAUAUUCAUAACAUGAUGUAAUAUAGUCACAUCAAUUGCAUGUAGUUAACCAUGGCUGUGAACUAGCCAUGGGCAUAGUCAUCUGUGCACAAAUGCGAGUUUCCUU
rnacentral:snRNA from 1 species